UUCCUGCUGGCUAAGCUGGUAAAGAAUCUGCCUGUAAUGUGGGAGACCUAGGUUAGAUUCCUGGGUUGGGAG
rnacentral:tRNA from 1 species